GGUCCCUUGGUCUUGUAUGUGACACUCUUGCCCUCUAGGGCCUCUCCAGCUUGGUAGCAGUUUGAUGACUAAUAUUAAUAAGAUGUUACAUAACACGAGGGUACUGGGCCAGGACUGGUAUUGCUGCCACUUGUAAAGGCAAAAAGCCCAGCCGAUGGUUGCAGACGCUGCUGUUUGGGUUUCUUUUCUGUCCAUUGAAACUUUCCACAGCAUUUUUCAACUCUUUGAGCUUAAAUUCCAGACUGUAUUUCCUGUGAAUCCUGAUCAAGCAAUACAAAUGUGCUGCAAUGGUGACAUAAACCAUUGACUGAGCCUGGGGACACAACCGAAACACAGUCUUCGCUCUUACUUUUUCAUGGUGCUUCCGUUUGAAUAAAGACAGUGCAACAUGAGUUUUAUCAUGAAGCUCCACAGACACUUUCAAAGGACAGUCAUUCUGCUUGCCACUUUUUGUAUGGUGAGCAUUGUUAUUUCUGCUUACUACCUGUAUAGUGGCUACAAACAGGAAAAUGAACUCUCUGGAAUGGCUUCAGAAGUGGACUGUGGUGACCUCCAACAUAUACCCUAUCGGCUGAUGGAAGUGAAGACGGAAAAGCUUUCUGAUGCCACAAGAACAGACCCCAUGGUCCUGGUGUUUGUGGAGAGCCAGUACUCCACCCUUGGUCAAGACAUUGUUAUGAUUCUAGAAUCAAACCGAUUCCAGUACCACAUUGAAAUCGCUCCUGGAAAAGGAGACCUCCCUGCACUUACAGACAAAACAAAAGGCAAAUAUAUUCUCAUUAUUUAUGAGAAUAUUUUAAAGUAUAUAAACAUGGACUCUUGGAAUAGAAGCCUUUUAGAUAAAUACUGUGUAGAAUAUGGUGUGGGUAUCAUUGGAUUCCACAAAGCCGGUGAGAAAAAUGUACAGAGCUUUCAGUUAAAAGGUUUCCCUUUUUCCAUAAACGGAAACCUUGCAGUAAAAGAUUGCUGUGUUAAUCCCCAUUCACCGUUGCUUCAUGUGACUAAAUCAUCCAAGCUUGACAAAGGUUCUUUACCUGGAAUUGACUGGACAGUUUUUCAGAUUAACCACUCAGCCUACCAACCAGUAAUAUUUGCCAAAGUUAAGACCCCAGAAAACCUUUCUCCUCCCAUCUCCAAAGGUGCUUUUCAUGCUACUGUCGUACACGACCUGGGGCUUCAUGAUGGGAUUCAGAGAGUUCUUUUUGGCAACAACUUGAACUUCUGGCUGCACAAGCUCAUCUUCAUAGAUGCCAUCUCCUUCCUGUCGGGGAAGAGGUUGACGUUGUCCUUGGACAGGUACAUCCUCGUGGACAUCGAUGAUAUAUUUGUGGGGAAGGAGGGGACAAGGAUGAAUGUCAAGGAUGUGAAGGCCCUGCUUGACACUCAGAAUCUUUUGCGUGCUCAAAUCACAAAUUUUACAUUCAACUUGGGAUUUUCAGGGAAAUUUUAUCACACAGGAACAGAAGAAGAAGAUGAAGGGGAUGAUUGUCUGUUGGGGUCCGUGGAUGAGUUCUGGUGGUUUCCUCAUAUGUGGAGUCAUAUGCAGCCCCACCUCUUCCAUAAUGAGUCAUCUUUGGUGGAGCAGAUGAUUCUCAACAAAAAAUUUGCCUUAGAGCACGGAAUUCCUACGGAUAUGGGCUAUGCAGUGGCCCCUCAUCACUCGGGUGUCUACCCUGUACAUGUUCAGCUUUAUGAGGCCUGGAAGAAGGUUUGGAAUAUUAAAAUCACCAGCACUGAAGAAUAUCCACAUCUGAAACCAGCUAGAUAUCGGAGAGGCUUCAUCCACAAAAACAUCAUGGUUCUUCCAAGGCAGACCUGUGGGCUUUUCACUCACACAAUUUUCUACAAGGAGUAUCCCGGAGGUCCUAAGGAACUGGACAAGAGUAUUCAAGGAGGGGAACUCUUCUUCACUGUGGUACUCAACCCAAUCAGUAUCUUCAUGACCCAUCUGUCUAACUAUGGAAAUGACCGACUGGGGCUGCAUACGUUUGUGAAUCUAGCCAACUUCCUGCAGACCUGGACCAACCUGCGCCUUCAGACCCUGCCCCCAGUGCAGCUGGCUCACAAGUAUUUUGAGCUCUUUCCUGAUCAGAAAGAUCCUCUCUGGCAGAACCCUUGUGAUGACAAACGCCACAGAGACAUUUGGUCUAAAGAAAAAACGUGUGAUCGUUUACCAAAAUUCUUGGUAAUAGGACCCCAGAAAACUGGUACCACUGCUUUGUAUUUGUUCCUGGUUAUGCACCCUUCCAUCCUUAGUAACUCCCCCAGCCCAAAAACCUUUGAGGAGGUAUAUGGAUUUCUUCCCAGUUCCAUCUAAUGUCACCACUGACUUUCUGUUUGAGAAGAGUGCCAAUUACUUUCACUCAGAGGAAGCCCCUAAAAGGGCAGCUUCUCUAGUCCCCAAAGCCAAGAUCAUCACCACUCUCAUUGACCCAUCGGACCGAGCAUACUCCUGGUACCAGCAUCAACGGUCCCAUGAAGAUCCCGCGGCACUGAAGUUUAGCUUCUAUGAAGUGAUCUCCGCUGGGCCCCAUGCACCCUGGGAACUUCGAACCCUGCAGAAGAGAUGCUUGGUCCCAGGGUGGUAUGCCAGCCACAUUGAGAGAUGGCUCAUGUAUUUCCCGCCCUUUCAGUUGCUAAUUAUCGAUGGGCAACAGCUAAGAAUCGACCCUGCAACAGUGAUGGAUGAAGUGCAGAAGUUUCUAGGAGUCUUGCCUCAUUAUAAUUAUUCUGAAGCUUUAACGUUUGAUUCUCGUAAAGGAUUCUGGUGUCAGUUACUGGAAGAAGGAAAAACAAAAUGCCUUGGCAAAAGUAAGGGAAGGAAAUACCCACCCAUGGAUCCCAGUAGCAGAGCGUUUCUGUCUGGUUACUACCGAGACCACAAUGUGGAGCUCUCUAAGCUGCUGCACAGGCUGGGCCAGCCUCUGCCCUCAUGGCUGAGACAGGAGCUGCAGAAAGUGAGAUAGCACCUAGAAAAAGACUUCUCAAGAAUUCUUCUUCCAUGUAAUGACACACAGCUUUUCCAAAGCUCACAGAAGCGACCAAAAGGCUGUCAAAAAAUAUACCUCUACAAACGAAAAGAACAUGGUUCCUUCCAUGUGCUGGCAUGUGGAGGACUGGGGAUGGGGGGAUGGGGAAACAUAAAUGGUAUCUCUUAAAAGCUUUGAGGCCUAUGGCUUUCCUCUUAACCCAUACUGAGCCUGGGGGUUUCCUGUAGACUACUGUGCACUCAUGUGGAAGCCAAUAGCAACCAACAUAAAUAAAAAACACUGAUGAAGAACUAUUCCAUUUCAUAGUAAUAUUUACACUUUUGUGUAUAAACUGAAAUUGUGUUCUGUAGAUUUUUGGACCACUGUUUGCCUGUACAAUGUUUUCUUAUUCUUUGAUUCUGUGAAGUAGCUUAUAUAACAAGAACUAAAAUAAAUAUCACAAUGUAACAUAAAAUCCGAAAAGCAUAACACUCAUGAACAAUGCUGCCAAAAUCUAAAUCCACGGAAUAUUUAGAGGGAAUUUUAGACCACAAUGUGUGCUAGGUCAGAGAAUGGGACGUUAGAUAUGAGCUUCAUCUUCAUUAAAAAGAAGUAAAGAACAGUGCUAUAGCAAAGAAAAUAGUUCUCAUCUAUAUAGUCUAGUGUGCUUAUGCAAAUCCAUGCUGUAAACGGUAAAUAGAAACACAUUUCUUACAGCAAAACAACACAUAGUAAUGGAAAGGUGCAGACUAAAUCCUCUAAGAGGGAGACGGGCUAGGUGCAAAGAGACAUGGCUGAGCACUGUGCUGCCUGCUGCAAGCUGACAGUCUAGUCUGCUCACCCUCGCCCGUUGUGCGGGGAUGUGCACAGUCCGUGAGUAUCCACUCUAAUUCACACUGACUAAAUGUGCAGAGAAUCUGCUGAACAGCUCUACCAAAUGAAAACUAAGGACAGCCUUCCCAUGUUGCUUUAUUUAGGCUAGUCACAUUUAAAUUAUUGAAAACCGCAUCUUCCCAGGUAGCUCAAAAGAAAAUGAUUUAAUGUACAAAUAUAUUUAAAAAUGAAUUCACAUAUGAAUUUUAAUAUACUAUUUGAAAUAAUACAUGUGGUACAUGGUAGAGACAAGUAAGCAGGAUAAAAUUCCAUUUUUGAGAAUCUCUCACAUACCCAUAUCUUCCACAUCCAUGCAAGACAGCAGAACAUAGUGAAAUUUAUGGAUUAGUUACUAAAUCAAACGCAAGAAGUACAUACAAAGAUGAGCGUCACUUGUGAAAUAUGUUUACACUUAUAAUUUAAACUAUAUGUAUAAUAAGUUAUUUUUAAGAAAGAGUACAAUAGGUUAUACUUAUUUUCCUGUGUUAAUAUUUACUUAAUUUUCAAUUGUACUUUAUACCUAUAUAGGUAUAAGUAGCAAGUUUCUGGCUAUGAUUUUGUAAUCUCUUAUGAAAUAUUUUAAAGGAUAUGCUCAGAAAAAAAAUAGGUGAGGAAAAUCAAUAGCCUAAAGACUUUGUCAUUAUAGUGCAUAAAACUGUAGUCUCUCAGUUAUUUGCUAAUUAGAAAACCAAACUGAAAUGCUUCCACUUACUAUUAAUUUCCCUAUACACAUUACAAUUACUGAUCUGAAAAGUUUUUAAAGAUUUACAUACUCAAAGAAUGCAAUAAUUUUAAAGCAAUUAUCAGAAAGAAUUGUAAAAAGAACCAAAUUUUAAGAACCGUCCAAGAAGCAAAAAUCAAAAUUCAGUGAAAUCAGCCCUCCUGCCGCCAGAAGGGUCAAACUAGUAAGAACAGAGCCCAGAGUUACAUGCUGUCACGAUUCCAUUUGGCAAGUGCUUCUACUGAUGAAGGAAAUGAACGAAAGAUAAACUAACACAUGCUGUUUAAACAAGGCUGCACAACCGGGCUUCUAGAUAAACUGGCUACUGGCAUCACUUAGUCUCGGUAGACAGUGCCUUUAAAAUGAAUAGCUGCAGCAUAGCACUUGUAUAAUGAAAGGAAAAGGGAGAUGGUACUGAGACCUGCUUGCUCACAAGCGCAUGUUUGGGUAGCAAACUUUUGAAAGGGUUUUGAGCAUUCAGCAUGUCUGAGAGACGGCACCCAAUUCUAGAGAACACUGUGGUACGUUUCAUGCUGUGGAGUCCAGCUGACUAGUCUGCGAUUCUGAAAAUACCAGAAAUACGCAUGAGAAAAGAAUGAGAGAGCACGAGUUUUAAAACCAGCUUUGUAUAGAAUUCCCUUUUUCAUUGCUUAAAAUAUGGAACUUCCUCAGGAAGAAAUGAAAUGGUUAUUUCAGUGUUUACAGCUAUAAUAUUCUUGUCAUUCACAUUGAAUGAAAAUUACUGGGAACAUUUUUUUCUCUGAGUUUUUUUAAAAGAAAAAAACCCAAUAUAAUUCUAAUAGUGGCAUGGUACCUCAUAUGUAUAACAAUAAAGUCUGAUAAUAAAAUGAAGGAGUUGGGCUGGUGAUUUUAGGCAAUAAGCAGGUAUUUGAUUUUUUUUGCCUGGGGUGGGGGGGCACAGCAGUGGGAAAUGGUCAAGGGUUAUAAGCACCACUCCUAUAAUGUAAAAUGGAGAAAUGGCUGCAAAGCUUAAUAGGAAGUAGGGAAUUUUUAUUAUACAAUCAUUUAAGUUUAUGUAUUGCUUGUGGUUUUGUUAUACUUCUAAUGGAUAUAAAGCAGUAGUUUCCCAAACACACAAAAACCUAGAAAAUAAUCUCCACAAAAAAUACAAUGUGAAGAGAGGAGUUAGAUAUUUAUCUUCAUUCUCCACAAACUUUCUUUUCUCUGUUUGAAUCUCUUUCAAGAUAUCAGAUUUUCUCAUGUCACAACCCAUCCUGCCUGAGCUCACCAAGCGUAUUCCCCAGCCAGCUCCCCCCAGAUGCAUUGCUCUGCCUGGAAUGCAGCUAACUCCUAGUUUUCUUUGCAAAUGACUCAUUCUAUGUUCCAUCAACCCCAGGAACAAUCAGGGAGCAGUUAAUUAACCAAGUAUCAAUAUUAGUCUUGUAAAAUGACUUAAUAGUAUGCUUUUUGAAAGAUCAGCCCUGCGGCUUCUAACUCAUACAUUUUAAGCAGUGAGUAAUUAAUGAAGAGGUACUGAACCAGUGAUGUCAAUGUAUUUCCCUAGUUUCAAAUCAUACUCUAUACCUGAAUUCUCUUCUGCCAACACUGGCUCUACAUGUAAAGUUAACAUCUCUUUUUCAUUUAUCGACAACAUUUAUAAUUUCUCCUUCUCUAAAGAUUUUUCUAAGUUGAUGACAUGUAGCUCAUUCCAAUUUUAGUGACCUAACAAUCUUUGUAUUUUUAAUUCCUGGGAGUUCAGGGACAGAAACUCACAUAUUAUUCCUGCCUACAUCGCACCUCCAAAACUUACAUAUAUAGCUAACCCAAAUAGCAAUCAGUUUAAGAGAAAUUAUUAGUCCGUGUGGAUAAUUCCUAAGAAAUGCUUUCCACAAAAAUCAGCCCAAUAAGGUUGGCUUCAAAUAUUCA